rnacentral:rRNA from 1 species
AUGCCUCCUCGCCUCCUUGGAGGCUCGGACUGGUUUCUCGUAUCCAUCAAUCACAACCAUGAGUGGACGAGCUGGUGGUAG